UACGAAGGGUGCUAGCGUUGUUCGGAAUUACUGGGCGUAAAGCGCACGUAGGCGGGUUGGUAAGUCAGGGGUGAAAUCCUGGAGCUCAACUCCAGAACUGCCUUUGAUACUGGCAACCUAGAGACUGGAAGAGGUUAGUGGAAUUCCCAGUGUAGAGGUGAAAUUCGUAGAUAUUGGGAAGAACACCAGUGGCGAAGGCGGCUAACUGGUCCAGCACUGACGCUGAGGUGCGAAAGCGUGGGGAGCAAACAGG
rnacentral:rRNA from 1 species